CAAAACUUUCGGAUCGCUGAGACAGAGAGUACUGUGGAAAUGGGACGAAGAGUCCAUGCCUGGAAUGCUACCAAAUGUGCGAGUGGCAAAAUGGCUGCCACAGCAGGAUAUUCUCGGUCACCCCCAAACUUCGCCUCUUCAUAACCUACGAGGAUCUGCUGAGCUAGAUCUGGAAUCGGUGUAUUACGGGAGACCCUUGCUGUGUAUUCCUAUCAUUCGACCAAAAGACCAAAAUAAGGGAAGUGGAGCUCCAGGGCUGGGGCAAGACACUCCUGUGGCAGAGGAUCUUACCGAUGGCAGACUCCUAGAAGAGAUCCUGUCUCUCAUGAAUAACAAGACAAUGCAUGAUAUAGCACGGCAGAGAUCUAGCCGAGGACUCCGAAGGAAACGGACUUGUUCUGGAGCCCAAUUGCUGAGAUGCCAUGAUGCGUUGCCCUAAUUAUUCCCGUACCCUUGGCUGCCUUAUGCAGAGAUACAGCGUCGUAUUACAUCAUCUUCAGAGUGUGCGCGAAGGAAGGAGGGGAGAGAGAAUGACCGAGAUGAGGAAUGAAAACUAGCUUAAGCAAACAGAUUACAUCGGUAUAUUGUAGUUGGUAAGGUCACGACGAGAGAAUUACUGGGUCAAAGUUCGCAUAAUUUGAAAGUCUUUACAGAGGAAAGUGCGAAGUAAAUAGAACGGCAGGGAUGAUCAGAUGGAAGCUCAAACCAGAGUGCACAAUGAGGCGAGUGGCACAUUGUGCGGGUGCUGGUUAAGUAUGCUGUCUACCAACCAACUUCUGGUUAAGUAUGCGGUCUACCAAAAUACUUCUGGUUAAGUAUGCGGUCUACCAACAAAUUUCUGUCAAAUCUGUUAAUUGGUUUUAAAAUUUCAGAAAUAUAACCUAGAUAUGGUAACUGGGUAGUAGACCUGCCAACUACGCAACAACAUUCAAUGGCUUUAAAAUUCAAAACUAUUACCAUUUUAGAAUACAAUUGUUUAAGUAACUACUCGACCUUCCAAAACCUUUAUAUUUUUAGUCAAAUGCUUCAAUUUUAGUUUACUGCUACUAGAGUCAAAGAACAUUGCUUGGAAGUACCCUCAAGUUUCACCAUGCGUGCUAAAGAUUUCUACAAGAUAAUUGAAAGUGAAGAGAGUGCAGUUGAUUUUUUAAGAAACCAUGAUCUGAUCAAAUCAAUACAAGAUGCUGAUCCGUGUCACAAGUGUGGAUCUGUAAUGCAGAAAAAUAAGAAAAGGGAUCGAGGUGGUGAUUUUAGACCGAUUUCAAGAUGCCCAAAGAAAGGAUGCCAAGCUCUGUCAAGGUCGGAAAUGAAUUUUUUCAUUACAUAGAUCUUAAUAACCGUGUGAACUGCAGGUUAGAAUUAUGUGAAAUACUGUAGUUAAUUUUCUAUUUUAUAUCUGAUACGUCUGUGGAAAUUACCGUCACGCUAACGGGGGAGGCUCUCCAAGCCUACAAUUAUAGACUGGUUCAAUGUGUGUCGUGAAGUAUGUGGAUGUAUACUUUCAAAAAGGGAACCAAUGAUUGGAACAGCAGAGGAGCCAAUACAGAUCGACGAGGCCCAAUUCGCCAUCAGAAGACAGCGAUGCUGAUAGACAGAAUAAUAGAAAUCACGGAGCUAGAAUUAGUGGACCCUGGGUGUUUGGCCUAAAAAGAGGUUUGGACUGCAGAUACUUUCAAGUUCAUAAGCGCGAUAUAAAUACUCUGAUACCAAUAAUUCAGAGGGAGUGCCAGGCUGGAUCAUUUAUUCAUUCGGAUGAGUGGCCUGCAUAUGACUGCCUAAAUACCCUUGGAUACAUUCAUCAAACAGACAAUCACCAAAGACAAUAUGUGGAUCCUACAACUGGUGCGCAUACACAGACAAUAGAACGUUCUUGGUUGGGUGCUAAAAUUGAUAUUCUAAGAAAGAAAAG